rnacentral:rRNA from 1 species
UGGGGAAUUUUGGACAAUGGGCGAAAGCCUGAUCCAGCAAUGCCGCGUGUGUGAAGAAGGCCUUCGGGUUGUAAAGCACUUUUGUCCGGAAAGAAAUCCUUGGCUCUAAUACAGUCGGGGGAUGACGGUACCGGAAGAAUAGGCACCGGCUAACUACGUGCCAGCAGCCGCGGUAAUACGUAGGGUGCAAGCGUUAAUCGGAAUUACUGGGCGUAAAGCGUGCGCAGGCGGUUUGCUAAGACCGAUGUGAAAUCCCCGGGCUCAACCUGGGAACUGCAUUGGUGACUGGCAGGCUAGAGUAUGGCAGAGGGGGGUAGAAUUCCACGUGUAGCAGUGAAAUGCGUAGAGAUGUGGAGGAAUACCGAUGGCGAAGGCAGCCCCCUGGGCCAAUACUGACGCUCAUGCACGAAAGCGUGGGGAGCAAACAGGAUUAGAUACCCUGGUAGUCCACGCCCUAAACGAUGUCAACUAGUUGUUGGGGAUUCAUUUCCUUAGUAACGUAGCUAACGCGUGAAGUUGACCGCCUGGGGAGUACGGUCGCAAGAUUAAAACUCAAAGGAAUUG